rnacentral:ncRNA from 1 species
GGAAAGAAGACCCUUUUGAGCUUGACUCUAAUCUGGCAGUGUAAGGAGACAUAAGAGGUGUAGAAUAAGUGGGAGAUAUUAGACUUCGGUUUGGUAUCGACAAUGAAAUACCACUACUCUUAUUGUUUCCUUACUUACUUGAUUAAAUCUAACGUGUAUCAUUUCCUAGCCAUUAUACGGAUAUAAUUAUUAUGUCUUAUGGUAUUGGUUUUUGAUGCAAGCUUCUUGAUCAAAGUAUCACGAGUUUGUUAUAUAAUCGCAAACAAAUUCUUUAAUGAGAGAAUGCAUUUAUGUAUUAUUGAUUUAAAAAUUUGGUAUAACUCCAAUUACUCAGGUAUGAUCCAAUUCAAGGACAUUGCCAGGUAGGGAGUUUGACUGGGGCGGUACAUCUCUCAAAUAAUAACGGAGGUGUCCCAAGGCCAGCUCAGUGCGGACAGAAACCACACAUAGAGCAAAAGGGCAAAUGCUGACUUGAUCUCGGUGUUCAGUACACACAGGGACAGCAAAAGCUCGGCCUAUCGAUCCUUUUGGUUUAAAGAGUUUUUAACAAGAGGUGUCAGAAAAGUUACCAUAGGGAUAACUGGCUUGCGGUGGCCAUGCGUUCAUAGCGAUGUAGCAUUUUGAUCCUUAGAUGUCGGCUAUUCCUAUCAAGGUGAAGCAAAAUUCACCAAGAGUUGGAUUGUUCACCCAUGCAAGCGAACGUGAUGCAGGAGCAAGACCGUUGUGAGACAGUUUCGUUUUACC